UAGGGAAUCUUCCACAAUGGACGCAAGUCUGAUGGAGCAACGCCGCGUGAGUGAAGAAGGUUUUCGGACCGUAAAGCUCUGUUGUUGGUGAAGAAGGAUAGAGGUAGUAACUGGCCUUUAUUUGACGGUAAUCAACCAGAAAGUCACGGCUAACUACGUGCCAGCAGCCGCGGUAAUCGUAGGUGGCAAGCGUUGUCCGGAUUUAUUGGGCGUAAAGCGAGCGCAGGCGGAAGAAUAAGUCUGAUGUGAAAGCCCUCGGCUUAACCGAGGAAUUGCAUCGGAAACUGUUUUUCUUGAGUGCAGAAGAGGAGAGUAGAACUCCAUGUGUAGCGGUGGAAUGCGUAGAUAUAUGGAAGAAUACCAGUGGCGAAGGCGGCUCUCUGGUCUGCAACUGACGCUGAGGCUCGAAAGCAUGGGUAGCGAACAGGAUUAGAUACCCUGGUAGUCCAUGCCGUAAACGAUGAGUGCU
rnacentral:rRNA from 1 species